GGCGGCGUGCCUACCAUGCAAGUCGAACGAGAACGGGUUAAAGCUUGCUUUAACUGUCAGCUAAGUGGCGCACGGGUGAGUGAUAUAUAGUUAACCUGCCCUCGAGAAAGGAAUAACAGUUGGAAACGACUGCUAAUGCCCUAUAUGCCUUUACGACAUAAGUCAGCAAGGGAAAUGCUUUUGUGCUCGAGGAUGGGACUGUAUGGUAUCAGAUAGUUGGUGGGGUAAUGGCCUACCAAGUCAAUGACGCCUAACUGGUUUGAGAGGAUGAUCAGUCACACUGGAACUGAGACACGGUCCAGACUCCUACGGGAGGCAGCAGUGGGGAAUAUUGCACAAUGGAGGAAACUCUGAUGCAGCAACGCCGCGUGGAGGAUGACACAUUUCGGUGCGUAAACUCCUUUUAUAUAGGAAGAUAAUGACGGUACUAUAUGAAUAAGCACCGGCUAACUCCGUGCCAGCAGCCGCGGUAAUACGGAGGUGCAAGCGUUACUCGGAAAUCACUGGGCGUAAAGAGCGUGUAGGCGGGUAAAUAAGUUUGAAGUGAAAUCCUAUAGCU
rnacentral:rRNA from 1 species